CUUUGAUUUAUUUUUAAAAAUCUUUUUUUUUAAUUUGAAAUUUCUCAGAUUUUCUGCUCCAAGUCAUAGCCCUGCUGCCUUGAGUGGAAUUGUCAGUUCCCCACGGGAGGUUGUAAUAACAGCGUUAUUCCCAGCGCAUGGACUCCGGGAAACCUGAACGGCUGCUCCUUCCAGAAGGUCUGCGCGCUCCUCGACGCCCUUUCCCACGUUCCUUUUCUGCUUAAAUAGCUGCAGUGGAUUACGUUGCUAGCACCUGAACACCCUGACAGACGUGCUGGGUAAGACCUUCCACUUUCCUCGCUCAUCCUUUCUGUGUCUGAACAGCUGGUGGCCACGGCGUAGCCACCACCCCAGUGUCUGAUGUGCAGGGCCAUCCUGCUCACCUCCCCAUGACAGCUGACAGACUAACCGAGCAGAAAAAUUCGAUUGUUUACUUAUUUGAAAACAGCUUCAUUGAGCUGGGAUUGAUGUACAAAAACACUGCCUGUAUUUAACAAACACAAUUUGAUGAGUUUGGACAUCUGCGUGCGAACAUCUGUGAAACCAUCACCACAAUUAAGGUAACAGACAUAUCCAUCACUCCCUAAAGUUUCCUUGUGUGCCUCCUUUUUGUGGUAAGAACUCUUAACACGAGCUCCACCCUCUUAACAACGUUUUAAGGACAUGAUACAGUAUUGUUGACUAUUGACAGAAAACAUUUAUUUUUCGCUUCAAAAUGUGAGAAUUGGAUUGUGAAUCAACGGAAAGCCCAUCUGUGAACAUGUGUUCACAAAUACUAAAUGUUUUAAGUCAGAGGAUAACAAGUCCCUGGGAAACAGCAUUGAUAAUGAUGAAAGGAUUCUGGGGUCCAUAAGCCAACACCCUCCUUCUAAGCUUUCCUGGCAGCUUUUCCUCCAGAGACUCAGACGCGGCUCAACCCUCCUUCAGAUCCUGGUUAACCUCCGUUCCUGUAGGAUGUCUGCUGUGAUCGCCUGGGCCACAGCGCUCUUUCCCUCCUCUGACAGCACGUUGUUACCUUGUCAUUGGGCCCUGGAUGCAGGUGUCCCGUGACAUCCUGGGUUUCAUUCCUCAUUUUCCCAGCAAAAAAAGUCCUUCAGAAUAUCUGACCCCUGCUGCAUUCUACGGGCUCAUCCCCUAGCAUCUCUUCCAACUUUAAACAUCCUGUCUGUACUCUCAUAUUUUUAAGCUAUUCUCUAAGUUUUUUUAUCAUAG
rnacentral:lncRNA from 1 species